GAAUUUUUUCAGGUCCUAUUUACAACUACUCGUUUCAGUAGUGUUCCUAGCUGCGAGGAUCUCUUAAUUUCAAUAUGUAUAUUAAUAAACGAUGAAGAAUAUAUAAGCUAUUAUUAACUUUUAUUUACUGAAGUGGAGGUAAAUAAUACCACUUUCAGUGAACAAAGGUGAAUAUCUGUCUUGUGUGUACUACAUAGAAACCAAAAAGAUAAGUUUAUAUCUGUCAAUAUAACAAAUAAUGGUCAGAAAUCAAAUAGUUGACGCGCGAUUUUGUCUCUUCGGCAAUUCUGGGGUAAUAGAUCUCUCAGGUUAAUUAAGGCCUGGGUCAAUAAUGAUUUUCGCCUCCAGUGCCCCCCCCAGCAAGGUUCGCGGAAUUCGCGUGGACUGCGCGAGUAACCAUAGUUACUUGGAAUCAAGAUCGCGUAGUUCGUGAACGGCAUCCGCCAUUUUGAAGUGACAGCUUUGCAUUGGUUUUUCCCAUCUUCGCUGGUGAAUCCGACAAUCUAGAGGAAGACAUUAAAAGAAGGCUUUUGAAUGCUUUGGAAACAAUUUCUCCAAGAAGCAGAUGAAUUUACUGACAAACGUAAUCCCCCAAAGCAGUUGUUAGGGCUGGCAUCCAAACAUUCUUGAGCCAUGGAAACCAAAAGUGGAAUGUUUUGCUUAACACCUACUUUAAACAGAAUUUUACCAAGGGAAAAAAUAUCACUGGCUUUGCUACAGGGAGAACCAUUAACAACCUCAGGAGCAAUAUGAGGAUAACAGAUGCUGUACUUCUUUGCAGGAGGAAAGGAGCUGUCACAUGUUUUUCCAAAAUCGAUGAUGUAGCCAUGUUUGUUACUCACAAGAACAUUAUUAGCCUUCAAAUCACAGUGAAGAAAGCCUUUUGUGUGAAUAUGUGAAAGGGCUUCUGUCAAAUCAUGUGAAAUAAUUAACCAGUCAUUUGUUAUGAGUGAGCUUUGCACAUUCUGUAUUGUUGCACUGUUUUUCUGACAAGACAAUAGUUUGCUUAUUGUUACAGAUGUAUUGUCUUCCCCUUUAAACUCCAUUAUUAAGGAAAUGGGCUGCUUUUGAAGCUGCACACCUAUUAUGGUUGGGAUAUUUUUAGGUGCGAGUGCCUGCAUAAUGUGAGCCUCCUUCAUUAUCUCUGUGGUGUCCUGCAUCAGAGACUGUUUUUCCACAACCUUUAUAUCAAAUCGUGUGUACUGUCUCAGAAGGCAUCGACCAUAGGAUCCUUCUCCCAGUAUUAUAUUCUCUCCAUUGGUUGGAAGAAGUUCAGUAUGAUUGAUUAAGUUUACAGUGGAAUAUUUGGUACUUGCAUUCCUUUUAAAAAACUGGAAAAUGAAGGCAAAUAUAUUAUAGAGAGUGUGCUUAUUUUAAAUAAAUGCUAGAUUGCAACACAAGUAAAGGUGAAGAUUGUUGAUCUCAUUGUUUGGCAUGCAAAUUACGGCAAAGUAACUAGAAACAUUACUCCUCCUCCAGAUGGACAAGACAUUAGCAUUGGUUUUUUUUUUUUCUUGGCGUGCUCUCCC